rnacentral:tRNA from 2 species
GGGAUAUUAUGCUAAAGGCAGAAAGCUUCUAACUUUUUACUAAGCGGUUAAAUUCCGUUUAUAUCCCU